UGGAAACGCCAGCCGAUGGGUGCCGGCCGCCGCUUCGAAAGCGGUUGGAGGCAGAGAUGCCUCGUGCGCGUUCGAAUCGCGCCGUUUCCGUC
rnacentral:tRNA from 1 species